rnacentral:rRNA from 1 species
GACGAACGCUGGCGGCGUGCCUAAUACAUGCAAGUUGAGCGCUGAAGGUUGGUACUUGUACCAACUGGAUGAGCAGCGAACGGGUGAGUAACGCGUGGGGAAUCUGCCUUUGAGCGGGGGACAACAUUUGGAAACGAAUGCUAAUACCGCAUAAAAACUUUAAACACAAGUUUUAAGUUUGAAAGAUGCAAUUGCAUCACUCAAAGAUGAUCCCGCGUGGUAUUAGCUAGUUGGUGAGGUAAAGGCUCACCAAGGCGAUGAUACAUAGCCGACCUGAGAGGGUGAUCGGCCAAAUUGGGACUGAGACACGGCCCAAACUCAUACGGGAGGCAGCAGUAGGGAAUCGUCGGCAAUGGACGAAAGUCUGAACGAGCAACGCCGCGUGAGUGAAGAAGGUUUUCGGAUCGUAAAACUCUGUUGGUAGAGAAGAACGUUGGUGAGAGUGGAAAGCUCAUCAAGUGACGGUAACUACCCAGAAAGGGACGGCUAACUACGUG